GUGAUCAUCCAUUAGAGCGGUCCAGAGUCGCUGAGAUAACACGGUGUGCAGCUGGAUGAACACAGCAGGUCAAGCUGUAUCGGAGGAGCAGGAAAGCUGAUGUUUCGGGCCUAGCUCCUUCGCUGAGACCAAGAUUUGUGCAACGGAGAUACCAGCGAUCGUUGCCAAAGCCCUGUUACCUGUGGAGAAGGUGAUAUUUAACUUUUGUGUGCUGCUGCAGUUCGUAUGAUGAAGGUGCUCCCACAAUGCGGCCGUUUGAGAAGUUUCAGCUCGGUCAUCUAGCGAUACUGAAGAGCUGAUGAUUUCCACAAUUUUACUUCUGCACUAUUCUUAGUCUUUCAGAGGGAUCAAAAGAUUGAGUUACAGAUCUAUACAAUGACUGUCCUUCCUCCCUGGCUCUCCCACCUCUCUCUUUUGGUAGUUUGAUGCAAACACUGACUGGAUCCCUUACCUGGAGGAUAUUUGUGAAUGAAUUUGUUCUAAUGGUGAUCUAGCAUAUUCCCCAAGUGUUGCUCCACACAUGUCCAGAGAAUUUCUCAGUUUCACAAUGUGUGUGUCCUUCUGGUUUCUUACUCGCUACACUUACUUUCUGUUUGAAAGUAUAGUCUGCAGUCGGACAAUUCAAACUGUUCCACAUCCAGGUCUGACAGUCACUUUGUUUAUCACAAACCCAAUUUUCUCAGGAUUUUGAACAUUGAAGGAAAAAGCAGCACUCAUAGUGGGGAGAAAAGCACAUGGUGUGUAUGUUGAAGAGUCUGUGAAGAUUCAUCUGAAAUGUCCAAACACCAGUGCAGUGACACUGGGAGAGAGUGUGGAAAUGUGCAGAUUGCAGGAAGGAAUUUCUUCAUCGAUCCCAGCUAGAAACUGACCACCAGAGGCACACUGGAGAGAGACCAUUGACCUGUUCUGCAUGAGGGAAAGGCUUUGCUGACUGGAAUUCCCCACUGAUACACCAGCGAGUUCACUCUGGGGAGAGACCUUUCAUGAGCUCUGAGUGUGGGAAGGGAUUCAUUGUCAUCCAAACUGUUAACACACCAGCGAGUUCACAGACAACCACAGUUGAAGGACUUUGCUGUCACUCUCACUAGCAAAUGAACCAUGGUUUUGGGCUGUUUGUACAGAUGUUACUGAUCCCUGCUCAAUUAAAGGUGCUGGUAUUGUGAAUAAAAUGUCACACUAACAGUUGUGUAAGGUAGAGCUUGGAAAUAGUCACGUUGUCACAACACAUCGACACAUUCACACUGACUAAAGACUAUCCACCUGCACGAUAUGUGAAAAGGGAUUUCCUCGUUUAUCAGGACUGGUUAACUACCAGCAAAUUUCUGAAUAAGUUGAUUUGGUUUCAAUAUAGCUAACAGUAGAAUCAAAAAUAGUAUCAGUGAUAAUGGGAACUGCAGAUGCUGGAGAAUCCAAGACAACAAAAUGUGGAGCUGGAUGAACACAG